UGGGGAAUAUUGCACAAUGGGCGCAAGCCUGAUGCAGCCAUGCCGCGUGUAUGAAGAAGGCCUUCGGGUUGUAAAGUACUUUCAGUCGGGAGGAAGGUGGUAAGGUUAAUAACCUUAUCAAUUGACGUUACCGACAGAAGAAGCACCGGCUAACUCCGUGCCAGCAGCCGCGGUAAUACGGAGGGUGCAAGCGUUAAUCGGUAUUACUGGGCGUAAAGCGCACGCAGGCGGUCUGUCAAGUCGGAUGUGAAAUCCCCGGGCUCAACCUGGGAACUGCAUUCGAAACUGGCAGGCUAGAGUCUUGUAGAGGGGGGUAGAAUUCCAGGUGUAGCGGUGAAAUGCGUAGAGAUCUGGAGGAAUACCGGUGGCGAAGGCGGCCCCCUGGACAAAGACUGACGCUCAGGUGCGAAAGCGUGGGGAGCAAACAGG
rnacentral:rRNA from 1 species